UACGUAGGGUGCGAGCGUUGCCCGGAUUUAUUGGGCGUAAAGGGCGCGUAGGCGGCUCGGCACGUCCGUUGUGAAAUCGCCCGGCUCAACUGGGCGGGGUCGGCGGAUACGGCCGAGCUGGAGCAAGCGUAGGGGGCAAUGGAAUUCCCGGUGUAGUGGUGGAAUGCGUAGAUAUCAGGAGGAACACCGGUGGUGUAGACGGCUAUCUGGACCGUAACUGACGCUGAGGCACGAAAGCGUGGGUAGCAAACAGG
rnacentral:rRNA from 1 species